GAUCCUGGCUCAGGAUGAACGCUAGCUACAGGCUUAACACAUGCAAGUCGAACGAGAGAUGAGGAGCUUGCUCUUCAAAUCGAGUGGCGAACGGGUGAGUAACGCGUGAGGAACCUGCCUCAAAGAGGGGGACAACAGUUGGAAACGACUGCUAAUACCGCAUAAGCCCACGGCUCGGCAUCGAGCAGAGGGAAAAGGAGUGAUCCGCUUUGAGAUGGCCUCGCGUCCGA
rnacentral:rRNA from 1 species